CACACAUUAGAUGAUUCUGAAUGUAGGAGGUAGAAUGGAAUUUUAUUACACAACACACAGCUAUAUAUGCACCACAAUAUUGAUUCUCCCUACAAGGGGUCUUUCAUUCAAUAGAAUAUACAGUACAGUUGUCCCUAACCAGCGCCACUCUGUCUGGGGGCUACAUUAUCUCGAACUAACACAAUCUGCUCCCUGCUCUGCCCUCAUAGUCCUUAAAGCACAGCACACAAAAUGUCCCUCAGAAGCUCCAUCGCUGGACUGUAUCCCUAAACAAUAGAUAUAUAUCUGGAAAGCUCAUCACAGAGUGCCCUCACUGUCCAUAUCGUGCUCUAAUUGGAGAAUCUCCGGCCGAGUUACAGAAUGUUAAAGUUUUACCGGGUUGCAGCUUUGUUCAGAUCCAGUGGUGAGUUCCAGGCAUGCGGCAGCUUAGUCUCAGUCUACAAAAAGGAAUUCCUGAACCUUUGGGAAAGGGAAGGCACUCAGGUCCCAGGUAUCUUCUGAUGCGUCAUUGACUUCCCCAUCAUCCCUCCGAAUAGCACUCUAUUUGGAGGUGUGGGGACCAAACGAUACACGCGUAAAGAUGAGUGGAACAGUUCCAGAGUGUUUUAGGAUAUCUUGAGGUGCUAAAUUUAAGUCCGGUUGGGAAGCACAGUAAUAGCUGGUGCUCCCAUACACCUAUUUACAGUGACAAUAAGCUAAUUUAGGGGCUCUUGGUACCAGGCCCAUUGUCGGUGGGCAGGAGGCUUCAAGCCUAUCCAAAAGUCUGUGGCAUGGGAGCUUCCAUCACAGUCCCUUCAAUACAUAUAUUUUUUAUUGUUAGAGAAACUCAUAAUUCCACAUAUCUGACACAAGUGACACAGUAAUUCUCACAAAUUGAAGGAAUUCACACUUUUAGGGAAGUGACAGUUCCUCUUUAAAACACUAAACAUCCUAUUAAGUUAUAUUAAUUUGAUACAUACUGCUGACUAUGGGAUAUUAUAAUAGUUUUUAAUAAUUCAGUUGCUGCAACAGAUGUACAUUAUCAUGCUAAGGGAGUUCUGCAAUUUCCCCCCACUUCUUUAAAAUUGUUUAUCUGAAGAAUAUUAAAAAUGUCAAGGGACUUGAGCAAUACAGAGAUGACUAUUCAAUAAACAUUGAAGUGAAUCAAACUGAAUCUGAAUAGAGGGAAAUAGCUUACCUUUUCCAAAUCAGCUAGUUUAGACUCAAUGUUGCCAUUUGGAAUUGAGUUUGCAACACUUCAGAGUUCAGUGAAUAACCUGGAUAAAAGGGGAAUAAGAUAAUGAUACUGGAACAGGAGGUAUCAUUCGUAUUUAUUAUUAAUUCCACAAAUAGAAAUAACACAUCUAACUAAACUUUCAAAUAUGUUUUCUUACAGCGGCAAAUUUCAACCAGAACCAGAACAUGAUUGAAUCUAGUGGUAUGUUAAUAAGCAGUUAAGAUACAUUAAAGGGACACUGUAGGCACCCAGACCAUUUCAGCCCAUUGAAGUGGUCUGGGUGCCAACUCAUAUCACCCUUAACUUUAAGUGUAAUUAUUGCAGCUUUUGUAAUCUGCAAUAAUUACCUUGCAGGGUUAAGUGCUCCUCUAGUGGCUGUCUACCAGCCACUAGAGGGACUUACGGCUUCUUAGAUGACUUUUGGUCGUCUAAACUACGCUGGACAUCCUCACACUAUGCAUGAGUACCUCCAGCAUCGCCGGAAUCCCCAUAGGAAAGCAUUGAAUAAUGGUUUCCUAUGGGGAGGUCUAAUGCGCACGCCCAUUGGCGCGCAUGCGCAUUAGGUCUCCCCUGCCGGAAGAUGUGGAAUGGGGGGCACUCCAAGAUUCUACAGUACCAGGAAAACGGCUUUGUUUUCGUGGCACUAGAGAAUCCCUUUAACAGCACAGAUCAGUGCAAGACAACAUACAGUGCAAAUUGAAAAACAUUAGCAGAAAUCAUUAUGCAGUACAAGGUGCAAUAUGCAAUAAUGUGCAGUUCAAAAUGAAAUAUGCAAAAAAAAAAAAAAGAACAUGCACAUCAUAGUUUAUAAGGACUUUACACAUAACUCAAUGUACAUAAUAUACAUAGUAUACAGAAGGAAAAUGUUCAUGGUUCUUUUCAUAGGGUAAUAUAUACUGUUUAUAUUUCCCUAUAAAAAGAAUUUUAGGAAUAAUUUACACUGAUCACCCACAACAUUAAAACUGCAUGCCUAAUAUUUUGUAUAUCCCCCUCAUAUUGCCAAAACAGCUCUGAUGCAUCAAGGCAUGGACUCCACAAGACCUUUAAAUGUGUCCUGUGAUAAUUGACACCAAGAUAUUAGCAUCAGAUGCUUUAAGUCCUGCAAGUUGCGAUUUGGGGCCUCCGUGGAUGGGAAUUGUUGUUCCAGCUUAUCGCACACAUUGCUCAAUCAGAUUGAGAUCUGGACAAUUUGGAGGCCAAAGCAACACCUUGGACUCUCAAGGUAAACAAUGCACACGCACCUGGCCAUCCACCUGAUCUAGAAAAAAAUGUGAUUCAGUCAACCUUCUUCCAUUGUUCCAUUGUCCAGUUUUGACACUCACAUUGUUAGUGAACACCCUUUCGGCGGUGGACAGGGGUCAUCAUUGGCACACAACCCCAUAUGCAUCAAACUGCAAUGCACUGUGCAUUCUAACACAUUUAUUUUAUGGCCAGUAUUACGUUUUUCACCAGUUUGAGCUACAGUAGCUCUUCUGUGUGAUCAGCCGGCUUCUCCGGUUGUCCUUUAGUAUGUACUAACCAGUGCAUACUGGGAGCAUCCCGCAGGACUUGCCAUUUUCAAGAUGCUCUGACCUUGUCUUCUAGCCAUCACUAUUUGGCCCUUGUCAAAGUCACAUAGAUCUUUUCACUUGCCUAUUUUCCUUCUUCCAGCACAUGACAUUCAAGAACUGACUGUUCACUUGCUGGCUAAUAUAUCACACACCUUGACAGGUGCCAUUGUAAUGAUAUAAUCCAUGUUAUUCACUUCACCUGUCAGUGUUUUAAUGUUGUGGCGGAUCAGUGUAUAACUAUAUAUAUAUAUACAUACAUAUAUACACAUUUAAAAUAAACUCUGAUGCUGUAAAUUAAAAUUUACAAUAACUUUGCUUACUGUUAAAACAAGAUUAACUAAAAAAAAAACUUUUACUGUGUUCACUUGCAGUGGCCAACCUAACGAAGAAAGUGAGCAUCCUUGAAACAUCUUUGCCAAGACUUGGUACGGUAAUAUGCUAUACAUUACCUUUCAGUACUUAGUAGAACCUUGACAAUUGUCCAAAUCUAAUAGGACUGCUCAGAUUUUGGACCCUAUGCAACCAUGUUUCAUUCUUUUUCAUAAAAGAGACACCAGAGAAGAUUCUUGCUAUUGCUUGCCUUUCUAGAGCUUUUAUGCCCAUUCAAAACUACUUCAGCGUCUAUUAACACAUAGACAUUGCUGACAGUACCCUUUGAUGGUCUUGUGUGACAUCAGUGAUGUGAACUGCAUCACUGAUAUGUGGC
rnacentral:lncRNA from 1 species